rnacentral:rRNA from 1 species
CCUACGGGCGGCUGCAGUGGGGAAUCUUGGACAAUGGGGGCAACCCUGAUCUAGCCAUGCCGCGUGAGUGAUGAAGGCCUUAGGGUCGUAAAGCUCUUUCGCCGGGGAAGAUAAUGACUGUACCCGGUAAAGAAACCCCGGCUAACUCCGUGCCAGCAGCCGCGGUAAUACGGAGGGGGUUAGCGUUGUUCGGAAUUACUGGGCGUAAAGCGCGCGUAGGCGGAUCGGAAAGUUGGGGGUGAAAUCCCGGGGCUCAACCCCGGAAUUGCCUUCAAAACUCCCGGUCUUGAGGUCGAGAGAGGUGAGUGGAAUUCCGAGUGUAGAGGUGAAAUUCGUAGAUAUUCGGAGGAACACCAGUGGCGAAGGCGGCUCACUGGCUCGAUACUGACGCUGAGGUGCGAAAGCGUGGGGAGCAAACAGGCUUAGAUACCCCUGUAGUC